rnacentral:rRNA from 1 species
GUAUGGUGCAAGCGUUAUCCGGAUUUACUGGGUGUAAAGGGAGCGUAGACGGAUAGGCAAGUCUGGAGUGAAAGCCCGGGGUUGAGCCCCGGGACUGCUUUGGAAACUGUUUAUCUAGAGUGCUGGAGAGGUAAGUGGAAUUCCUAGUGUAGCGGUGAAAUGCGUAGAUAUUAGGAGGAACACCAGUGGCGAAGGCGGCUUACUGGACAGUAACUGACGUUGAGGCUCGAAAGCGUGGGGAGCAAACAGGAUUAGAUACCCUGGUAGUCCACGCCGUAAACGAUGACUGCUAGGUGUCGGGUGGCAAAGCCAUUCGGUGCCGCAGCUAACGCAAUAAGCAGUCCACCUGGGGAGUACGUUCGCAAGAAUG